UGGGGAAUAUUGGGCAAUGGGCGCAAGCCUGACCCAGCAACGCCGCGUGAGGGAAGAAGGCUUUCGGGUUGUAAACCUCUGUCCUUGGUGACGAAAAAAAUGACGGUAGCCAAGGAGGAAGCCCCGGCUAACUACGUGCCAGCAGCCGCGGUAAUACGUAGGGGGCGAGCGUUGUCCGGAAUUACUGGGCGUAAAGGGUGCGUAGGUGGCCUUUUAAGUUGGAUGUGAAAUACCCGGGCUUAACUUGGGGGGUGCAUCUAAUACUGGAGGGCUAGAGUGCAUGAUAGGAAAGCGGAAUUCCUAGUGUAGCGGUGAAAUGCGUAGAUAUUACUUAGAACACCAAUUGCGAAGGCAGGUUACCAAGAUAUAACUGACGCUGAGGGACGAAAGCGUGGGGAGCGAACA
rnacentral:rRNA from 1 species